rnacentral:rRNA from 1 species
GAUGAACGCUAGCGGCAGGCCUAACACAUGCAAGUCGAGGGGCAGCACAGAAACAGCAAUGUUUUGGUGGCGACCGGCGGACGGGUGCGUAACGCGUAUGCAACCUACCUUUAACAGGGGGAUAACGGAGAGAAAUUUCCACUAAUACCCCAUAACAUCGAUCAAGGCAUCUUGAUUGGUUGAAAACUCCGGUGGUUAAAGAUGGGCAUGCGUUGUAUUAGGUAGUUGGUGAGGUAAUGGCUCACCAAGCCUACGAUACAUAGGGGGACUGAGAGGUUAGCCCCCCACACUUGUACUGAGACACGGACCAGACUCCUACGGGAGGCAGCAGUGAGGAAUAUUGGUCAAUGGGGGCAACCCUGAACCAGCCAUGCCGCGUGCAGGAAGACGGCUCUAUGAGUUGUAAACUGUUUUUGUACGAGGGUAAAGUGGGUUACGUGUAACCUUUUGAAAGUAUCGUACGAAUAAGGAUCGGCUAACUCCGUGCCAGCCGCCGCCGUAA